rnacentral:rRNA from 1 species
CGGGGGAAAGGGGGGGAUCGCAAGACCUCUCACUAUUGGAGCGGCCGAGAUCGGAGUAGCUAGUUGGUGGGGCAAAGGCUCACCGCGGCGACGAUCCGGAGCUGGUUUGAGAGGACCACCCACCAUGCUGGGACUGAGACACGGCCCAUACUCCUACGGGAGGCAGCAGUGGAGAAUUUUGGACAGUGGCGGAAACCCUGAUCUAGCCAUCCCGCGUGUAUGAUGAAGGCCUUCGGGUUGUAAAGUACUUUUGGCAGAGAAAAAAAGGUAUCCCCUAAUACGGGAUACUGCUGACAGUAUCUGCAGAAUAAGCACCGGCUAACUACGUGCCAGCAGCCGCGGUAAUACCUAGGGUGCAAGCGUUAAUCGGAAUUACUGGGCGUAAAACGUGUGUAUGCGGUUCGGAAAAAAAAAUGUGAAAUCCCACGGCUCAACCUUGGAACUGCAUUUUUAACUGCCGAGCUACAGUAUGUCACAGGGGGGUAGAAUUCCACGUGUAGCACUGAAAUGCGUAUAUAUGUGCAGGAAUACCGAUGACUAACGCAGCCCCCUGGGAUAAUACUGACGCUCAGACACGAUAGCCUG